rnacentral:tRNA from 2 species
AUGCAAUGAACUUAAAAUUCAUUUAUAAAGAAUAAUCUUUUUUUAGAA